AGCGUUGUUCGGAAUUAUUGGGCGUAAAGGGUGCGUAGGCGGUUUGGUAAGUCUUAUGUGAAAUCUACAGGCUCAACUUGUAGUCUGCAUGAGAAACUGCCGGGCUUGAGUGUGGGAGAGGUGAGUGGAAUUCCUGGUGUAGCGGUGAAAUGCGUAGAUAUCAGGAGGAACACCUGUGGCGAAGGCGGCUCACUGGACCAUUACUGACGCUGAUGCACGAAAGCUAGGGGAGCAAACAGG
rnacentral:rRNA from 1 species